ACCAUGUCUCAGUUCGGAUCGGAGUCUGCAACUCGACUCCGUGAAGCUGGAUUCGCUAGUAAUCGCGCAUCAGCCAUGGCGCGGUGAAUACGUUCCCGGGCCUUGUACACACCGCCCGUCAAGCCAUGGGAGUCGGGAGUGCCUGAAGUUCGUGACCGUCACAGGAGCGACCUAAGGCAAGACCGAUGACUGGGGCUAAGUCGUAACAAGGUAGC
rnacentral:rRNA from 1 species